CACGUAGGCACCAAGCGUUGUCCGGAUUUAUUGGGCGUAAAGAGCUCGUAGGCGGUUCGGUAAGUCGGGUGUGAAAACUCUGGGCUCAACCCAGAGCCGCCACCCGAUACUGCUGCGACUCGAGUGCGGUAGGGGAGCGGGGAAUUCCUGGUGUAGCGGUGAAAUGCGCAGAUAUCAGGAGGAACACCAGUGGCGAAGGCGCCGCUCUGGGCCGUGACUGACGCUGAGGAGCGAAAGCGUGGGUAGCAAACAGG
rnacentral:rRNA from 1 species